AACGCUAGCUACAGGCUUAACACAUGCAAGUCGAACGGAUUCUGGAUUCGUCUGGAAUUAGUGGCAAACGGGUGAGUAACACGUAUCCAACCACCCUGCGACUCGGGGAUAGCCUCUUGAAAGGGAGAUUAAUAUCCGAUGUACUGUUUUUGGUGCAUGCCAUUUUCAGUAAAGUUUUUUACGGUCGCUGACGGGGAUGCGUUCCAUUAGAUAGUCGGUGUGGUAACGGCUCACCGAGUCUAUGAUGGAUAGGGGUUCUGAGAGGAAGGUCCCCCACAUUGGAACUGAGACACGGUCCAAACUCCUACGGGAGGCAGCAGUGAGGAAUAUUGGUCAAUGGCCGGAAGGCUGAACCAGCCAAGUAGCGUGAAGGAUGACCGCCCUACGGGUCGUAAACUUCUUUUAUAAAGGAAUAAAGGCGUCCACGUGUGGACGUUUGCAUGUACUUUAUGAAUAAGCAUCGGCUAACUCCGUGCCAGCAGCCGCGGUAAUACGGAAGGUCCGGGCGUUAUCCGGAUUUAUUGGGUUUAAAGGGAGCGUAGAUGGAUUUUUAAGUCAGUUGUGAAAGUUCGGGGCUCAACCCCGUAAUUGCAGUUGAUACUGGAUAUCUUGAGUACAGUUGAGGUAGGCGGAAUUCGUGGUGUAGCGGUGAAAUGCUUAGAUAUCACGAAGAACUCCGAUUG
rnacentral:rRNA from 1 species